rnacentral:rRNA from 1 species
GUCUUUUUGAAUUUUUAUAUAAAGUUUAACCUGCCCAUUGAAUAUUUUAAAAGGCUGCGGUAUUUUGACCGUACAAAGGUAGCAUAGUCAUUAGUUUCUUAAUUAGAAACUUGUAUGAAUGGUUGAAUGAAAAAUUAACUUUUUUUUUAAAAAUAUUGAAUUUUACUUUUUAAUUAAAAGGUUAAAAUAUAUUUAAAAGACGAGAAGACCCUAUAGAGUUUAAUAAUUAAUUUUUUAUUAGUAAGAAAGGUUACUUAUAUUAUUAUAAUUUUAAUUAUUUUAUUGGGGUGAUAAUAAAAUUUAAUUAACUUUUAUUAAUAUAACACAUUAAUAUAUGAAAUAUUGAUCCAGUAAUAUUGAUUAAAAAUUUAAAUUACCUUAGGGAUAACAGCGUAAUUUUUUUUUAAGUUCAUAUUAAUAAAAAAUUUUGCGACCUCGAUGUUGGAUUAAGAUUUAAUUUUAGGUGCAGCAGUUUAAAAUUUAAGUCUGUUCGACUUUUAAAUUCUU